GAUGAACGCUGGCGGUACGUCUGACACAUGCAAGUCGAACGGUAAGCCACCUUCGGGUGGCCUAGAGUGGCGAACGGCUGAGUAACACGUAGGAACCUACCCCUCAGUUCGGGAUAACGGGACGAAAGCCCCGCCUAAUACCGGAUAAUAUCGAAAGAUUGAAGGUUUAUCUGCUGAGGGAGGGGCCGUGCGGGCUAUUAGCUUGAUGGUGGGGUAACGGCUCACCAUGGCGAUGAUGGCUAGCUGGUCUGAGAGGAUGAUCAGCCAGACUGGGACUGAGACACGGCCCAGACUCCUACGGGAGGCAGCAGUUCAGAAUCUUGCACAAUGGGGCGAAAGCCUGAUGCAGCGAUACCGCGU
rnacentral:rRNA from 1 species